UACGUAGGGAGCGAGCGUUAUCCGGAUUUAUUGGGCGUAAAGGGUGCGCAGCCGGCUUAUUAAGUCUAAGAUGAAAGCCCGAAGCUUAACUUCGGUUUGUUUUAGAAACUGAUAGGCUUGAGUAUGGUAGAGGCAAACGGAAUUUCUAGUGUAGCGGUGGAAUGUGUAGAUAUUAGAAGGAACACCAGUGGCGAAGGCGGUUUGCUGGGCCAUUACUGACGGUCAUGCACGAAAGCGUGGGGAGCAAAUA
rnacentral:rRNA from 1 species